GAAUGGCACGGUGUUCUCUGCUGCGGCUUAGCUCGCCGGAUGGGGGAAUUCUUUGUCCUCUGUGGGUUGACACUUUAAAUUUAUAUGAUGUGCCAUAUGAUUACAACGGCCAAAAAUAAGACUGAAAUCAAAACAAAACGGAAACGGAUAUACAACGACAUUGCCUUUGAUCUUGGUCCAAAUAGGUUCGAAUCCUAAGGAACAUGGUGUUGUUGUUCCUCACGGCUACCCACCCCGUAUGACUUCUUAGUCAUCCAUGGUAUUUUCUUAGCCGGUUACUUCACGAAAAUACCCCUGAAUUGUUUAAACCGCCAUUUCAAAUUUUACGACCGUUACAUUUCCAGCCUGAUAUCAAUAACUAACACAUUUUGUUUUUCUUAUUUAGCUACAUAAUAGGCAAUAGAUUUAUUAUAAACAAAAGCUAGAUUUCGUUUACAAAAUACAACCUCCAGCUCUGGACUCAAUGAAUGCGACCUACAAUAGCAGCUGGUCGCACUAGCUAUGUAGCAACUUGGUGUCACUGGCUGACCGGGUCGUACUGUACCGACCAGAGAAAAACACGUGCGUCGGCCAAAAUGGAGAGGGCGCACCUAAGUUAUCCCUGUGCCAAUUGAAAAACAUAGAUAUAAAAAAAAACUACAAAUCCUUAAAGGCUGGUACAAAUUCUAAUGACCAUGGUCAUGGUGUCUCAAAAAAAAAAGAUACCAUGCCUUACUCCGCGUUACACGUGAACAGUCAUUUACAUUGAAAUGAAGUUGGAAUAUUCAUAUUGCUACUUUAUUGUAAAAAUAUAUUACACAAUUUAAUGAAC